UACGUAGGGUGCAAGCGUUUAAUCGGAAUUACUGGGCGUAAAGCGUGCGCAGGCGGUUUUGUAAGUCUGUUGUGAAAUCCCCCGGCUCAACCGGGGAACGGGCACGGAUACGACUCUUCUGGAGGAACGUAGGGGGGACCUGGAACUUCCGGUGGAGCGGUGAAAUGCGUUGAGAUCGGAAGGAACGCCCGUGGCGAAAGCGAGGUCCUGGACGUUACUGACGCUGAGACGC
rnacentral:rRNA from 1 species